rnacentral:rRNA from 1 species
UGCAAGUCGAACGCACUCUCGUUAGAUUGAAGAAGCUUGCUUCUGAUUGAUAACAUUUGAGUGAGUGGCGGACGGGUGAGUAACACGUGGGUAACCUGCCCUAAAGUGGGGGAUAACAUUUGGAAACAGAUGCUAAUACCGCAUAAAACCUAGCACCGCAUGGUGCAAGGUUGAAAGAUGGUUUCGGCUAUCACUUUAGGAUGGACCCGCGGUGCAUUAGUUAGUUGGUGAGGUAAAGGCUCACCAAGACCGUGAUGCAUAGCCGACCUGAGAGGGUAAUCGGCCACACUGGGACUGAGACACGGCCCAGACUCCUACGGGAGGCAGCAGUAGGGAAUCUUCCACAAUGGACGAAAGUCUGAUGGAGCAACGCCGCGUGAGUGAAGAAGGUUUUCGGAUCGUAAAACUCUGUUGUUGGAGAAGAACGUAUUUGAUAGUAACUGAUCAGGUAGUGACGGUAUCCAACCAGAAAGCCACGGCUAACUACGUGCCAGCAGCCGCGGUAAUACGUAGGUGGCAAGCGUUGUCCGGAUUUAUUGGGCGUAAAGCGAGCGCAGGCGGUUUCUUAAGUCUGAUGUGAAAGCCUUCGGCUCAACCGAAGAAGUGCAUCGGAAACUGGGAAACUUGAGUGCAGAAGAGGACAGUGGAACUCCAUGUGUAGCGGUGAAAUGCGUAGAUAUAUGGAAGAACACCAGUGGCGAAGGCGGCUGUCUGGUCUGUAACUGACGCUGAGGCUCGAAAGCAUGGGUAGCAAACAGGAUUAGAUACCCUGGUAGUCCAUGCCGUAAACGAUGAGUGCUAGGUGUUGGAGGGUUUCCGCCCUUCAGUGCCGCAGCUAACGCAUUAAGCACUCCGCCUGGGGAGUACGACCGCAAGGUUGAAACUCAAAGGAAUUGACGGGGGCCCGCACAAGCGGUGGAGCAUGUGGUUUAAUUCGAAGCAACGCGAAGAACCUUACCAGGUCUUGACAUCCUUUGACCACUCUAGAGAUAGAGCUUUCCCUUCGGGGACAAAGUGACAGGUGGUGCAUGGUUGUCCUCAGCUCGUGUCGUGAGAUGUUGGGUUAAGUCCCGCAACGA